rnacentral:lncRNA from 1 species
UAGAUAUGCUAGCACAAUCAUAUAACAACCACACAUGAGAGCCUUUUCACUUUUAAAAAACUCAAAAACACAACUCCGUUUUCUCUUUAUCCACAAAUAGCUUCCCUAUUCACAUCUUGUUGCGCACCCGGACGAUCCGCAACCGCCGAUGAUGAGAUUGCUCUGAGGUCGGUAUGGCGGUGAGGAUGAUGGGCGUAUCCCAGUCGCAAUUAAGAUGAGAAGGUGAUAAGAAACGAGGGAGAGAAGGAAGAAUCAGAUGUAAGAAGAGACAGAGUAGAGAAUAGUAACAGAGGGAGAUGAAGUUGAGAAAGAAAGCAUUAAUUUCAUUCCUUGUCUAAUUCCUAUUACACGCUGCCUCUUAUUUGCAAUCUGAAGAAAACCCUAAACCUAACUGGACUCCUAGGACUCCUCUCGGUGGCCCAACAUAACAUGGGCCUUGCUGGCCCGCUUCUUAAGAGGUAUCGGAUCAGACCCUCUCGAUUAUCCGCAUCCGCCCAAAGCCGCUCCAUCAGACUAUCUAGAAGCUGGGUCACUUCUCACUGCUCUUCACUCCUGUCGGAUUGCCCUCUUUUCUCUACCCCUUCCUAAGUCCUCCCUUCUCCUUCCUAUGCCUCCCUCCUACCGCCGAUCCUUGCCGACGCACGGCACACCUCCUGGAACCUGGACCGAGAAGAAGAAGUUAAGUCCUUCUCCUCUCUGAUUAUUCUGACUAUAUCCUCUACUGCUGCUACUAACUCCUUCUUCUACUUGGCAGGUGCAACACAUCUCUAUUCAGAUAGCUAUCUAAAUUUUAUCUCAAAACCUGUGAGAUUUAGCUGAUCAAAACUUAGCACUUGCAGUAGUGAUAUGUAUUCCUCCAAUGACCUAGAAGAUUACUUGGACCAUUGCUGAUCAAUCUGCUUAUAAGCAAGUAGAAAAAGAGAAGCAUGAUAUGAAUGUAGAAGCAUAAUAUGAAAUAUCUAGUUGAACAGUUGUGUUAUUUAAACUUCAAGGCCAUAAAUUCCAAUAGGAAGUUGUCUUUGCCGACUCAUUUAUGAUGGUCAUGUAAAAUGCUGACCUCUAGAUUACAUGUUUGUGUAUAACAGCACAAAAAGAUGGAUAAUCUUAAUCCCACCCUGUAUCAACAAUUCCAAGGUCAGGAUAAGCAGUUUCAACUGCAUCAUUUUUUGUGAUUUGCAUCUACCACAUGACAAAGGCUCACUAGCACAAAGCUUUUCNGAGAAGAAGAAGUUAAGUCCUUCUCCUCUCUGAUUAUUCUGACUAUAUCCUCUACUGCUGCUACUAACUCCUUCUUCUACUUGGCAGGUGCAACACAUCUCUAUUCAGAUAGCUAUCUAAAUUUUAUCUCAAAACCUGUGAGAUUUAGCUGAUCAAAACUUAGCACUUGCAGUAGUGAUAUGUAUUCCUCCAAUGACCUAGAAGAUUACUUGGACCAUUGCUGAUCAAUCUGCUUAUAAGCAAGUAGAAAAAGAGAAGCAUGAUAUGAAUGUAGAAGCAUAAUAUGAAAUAUCUAGUUGAACAGUUGUGUUAUUUAAACUUCAAGGCCAUAAAUUCCAAUAGGAAGUUGUCUUUGCCGACUCAUUUAUGAUGGUCAUGUAAAAUGCUGACCUCUAGAUUACAUGUUUGUGUAUAACAGCACAAAAAGAUGGAUAAUCUUAAUCCCACCCUGUAUCAACAAUUCCAAGGUCAGGAUAAGCAGUUUCAACUGCAUCAUUUUUUGUGAUUUGCAUCUACCACAUGACAAAGGCUCACUAGCACAAAGCUUUUCAUCCUUAAUUCUAAAUCCCAAAUAACUAAAAAAUAAGUUUACAACAAUAUGAGAACAUAAGUAUGGUAGCCUGCUUGAUACACUUAAUACACUUAACAGCAUGAUAUCUGGAGUGCUUAAAUUUCAUGUGAUUUUAUUCAAGUUUAACAUGCCAGAGAAAAAGCAACACAGAUGGCAACACAAUAGCAUCAAGAGAGAAUCUGAGAGUAUUAGAAUGAAUAGAAGGUAUAGACUAUAGAUGAUGUUAUAUUUAAAUAGUAAAUUCAAUUCAAAUAUAGUUAGUUACCCUACUUUCAUGGGAAUACAGAAUUCAUCACUUUUUAUAAUCUAGGGCUGGAUCCAUUUGUUUAUUUUGACUGCUCAGCAAACAAGAAAUCAAAGGUGUUUAGGGAAUGACUUGUGCUAUUUGCAUAAGCUUUAUAAUCUUUCUAAACUUGUAUUAUUUAAGUGUGAAACGAGAAAUUAAGAAUGUCUCAAGUCUCAACGCUAUAAUUUUCAUAUACGUUAUCUAUAGAACGGCACUGAAUUUUCUUGCUGACUUCAUUUCACAUUUAUUUUCCGAUCCUUAAAUUUAUCGAAGUCAUGAACUUCUCCUUCCUAAAGAAAACAUAGUCAAUGAAAGUCACCAUAUACUGCAUGCAGCUUAUUGACGCCUUUUCACAUGACAGAAGAUCCCCCUAUGAACUGUUGGGAAUCUGGUACUCGCCCCGGUACCGGAUCUCGUGAAUCCGCAACCCGCUCCGAUACCGACUGCUGUGAAUCCGGUAUCGAUUGUUGGGAUUCCGCAACGGAAGCUUCAAAUCGGGUUUUAACCAUAAACCCGUCUCCUCAGCAAAAACUGAUACAAUCAUAAAAGAGAGAAAUACCAAAAAAAUAAAAAAUAUGCGGGUAAAAUAAGAUUCAUUAAAUAAGAGAAGAUUACACCUGACUCCUUUUCUGCACAGAGUAGCUACAAUUCGAGCUCUCUUCCUGAAUCUCUCCUACCCUUCUCUCGUCUUCUAUAAUCCCAUAAAGAAGACAAUCAUCCGCGUGCACCCAUGCACUAGGUGCACUAAAUAACUCUCUCUCUCUCUCUUUUCUCUCUCCGGUACGGCACCCAAGAGGCCUUUUCUCUCUCUCCCGUACUCCACCACAAAAGCAAACCCACAAAGAGCUAUUUAUAAGGCUCCACCAAAACGUACCUCAAUCCUAAUAUAUUUAGGAUUUCUACUCCAAUUAAUAUCUAAAUCUAUCUUAAUCAAUCUCUAAUAGAUUUAAAUGUUAAUCCUAAUCUAGUUAGGUUUAUCCUCUAAUUAAUAUUUAAAUCUUAAUUUAUCUCAAACAGAUUUAAAUAUUAAUUCUUAUCCAAACAGGAUUUAAUUACAAAUCUAACCAAAUCCUAACAUGAACUAGUUCCGUUCGUUCCUUUGCUCUAAAUUUGAUUCCUCAUACGGCAAUUGCUGUGCUUUACCAUAUUGGAACCAGCAGAAACUAUGUAUUCCUUAAGUUCAAGUUGAGGACCAUUCAAUAUCGACUUUUCCGUCCUGGUCUUAUAUUUCCGUCCUGGUCUUAUAACUUGAGAUAGUUGGCAUGUUCGAAGUGAGCAUGGAGAGGUCUACAGUCUCAUUAUACCAAGUCUUCUUUAAAUAAGAUGACUUUGCCCACAUCACAUACGUGGACUCAAGCCAAAGUCAAAUACACACCCUUCACUUUGUAAAUGCUGCACAAAAGCUAUAACACUAAACCCCCAUCAAUAUUACACUACUGCUGCGGGCGGACAUUAAAAUAUAUAGGUUGCUUCUGCCUUUUCUUGUUCACUCCCUCCUCUCUUCCUUUCUCUUUUUCUCUUUUACUUCACUCUUCCAUUUGUCAGCACACAAUGGUGCUCUUAACUUGUUAUUUAUGGGCCCAAGUCAAGGCAAAAUUGGCGACCAAACUAACACAUAUUUCCCAACACAAGGUUGAAAAAAACAAGAAGGGUGCCUCAUCGCAUGGCCAUGGGCUGUGACUGGCCCAAUAGGGCAUAUGUACUGUAGUUAGGGCUGGCAAAUGAGCGAGCCGGCUCGUGUUCGACUCGAUAUUCGGCUCGCUCGAGCUCGGCUCGAAUUAAUUUCAAGUCGAGCUUGAGCGUAAAUUUAGGCUCGAAAUUAAUUUCAAGCCAAGCUUGAAUAUUACCCGGCUCGCUCGAUUUAGGCUCGAAAAGCUCGAAAUAUAUAUAUAUAGAGAGAGAGAGAGAGAAAAAGUCUACUAUGUUAUUAAUAGUGUUGAUCACUUGCUAUUAGGUUUUCGGCCCUUGGAUGAAGGGAUGUGCGGUUAGAAUGAAAGUAAUUAGAAUGUUUUUCUUUUAUCAUCACAUAAUAACUAUCUAAGUGCCGAAAUCCUAAUAGCAAGUAGUUAAUACUAUUAAUAAUAUUGUAACCUAAUUCUAUAUAUAUAUAUAGGCUAAGGCUACUAUAUUCUUAUGAGUAUAGACCCCUUUAUACUUAUAAAUUUUUCGCCGUUGGAUGUGCAAUUAGGAUAAUAGUGGUUCCCUAGGAUUGAGGGGUGGUUGGUUGAAUUGUAUGAUUUAUGGAUGGAAAUGGUCAAAAGUAUAGAUCUAACGAUAAAAAACUUAUGAGUAUAAAGGGGUCUAUACUAAUAGAGUAUAAUAGCCGAACUCUCUCUAUAUAUAAUUAUAUAUAAUAUAUAGUUUAAUUAUAUAAAUUUAUAUUAUGUAUUUUAAUUAUAUGUAUAUAGAAUUUAGAUUAUUGGGCCCAUAAAACCAAACCAGCAAAAUCCUACUUUAAUUGCUCUCUUUUUCUCUUUUUCGCUCGCUCAUAGAGUUGUUUUUCCUAAUUUUUUUUAAUAUUAUAAUAUCGUAUUUCAUGUAUUCAUUUUGUAUGUUGAGCUAUUAGACAUUUUUUGUAUCGAUUUUAGAUAAUAUUUUAUGAAAAUUAAACUAUAGAUUGCCCGAUGUUAAGAAUUUCAAGCAGCUCGUUUAGGGCUCGAGCUCGUUUAGGGCUCGAGCUCGCUCGACUCGAAAUUAGGCUCGCUCGAGCUCGGCUCGAAUUAAUUUCAAGCCGAGCUUGAGCCUAAAUUUAGGCUCGAAAUUAAUUUCAAGCCAAGCUUGAGCUGCGGCAAGCUCGCUCGAGCUCGGCUCGUUUCCACCCCUAACUGUAGUGACCUGUACUGGACCAACCACUGUGCCAAUUCGAUGGCCAGACAAAUCGCAGCCUAUGACACUCACAGGCCAAGCCUUGUUACGGCCCAGCAUGCCACCACAAUGUGCCAUGCCCGUCAGAAAAAUGCAUUGAUACUAUAUAUAAAUCAUUGAAUAGCCGACUAGUAUAAGCGACUUGUUGAGCCUAAACUAACACCUGAAAUACCCAAGUCCAUGUUACCCAUAUUGAAGUGCCAGCCUUAAUUUGUAUUCCGAUGUAUAGUCCCUAAGGGUGCGAUAGUUCGAGUUAUGUAGCAUUACGGGUUAUUUCAACAUAACCAGAUAACUGAGAUUUUUGAAUUAUAUUGCUACUGAUACUAUAUUACCGCAGUUGAUUUAAUGCAAUAAUAUAAUGUUGGAUUACAGUGUAUACUGAAUUACUAUAUUUAAUUUAUUUAUAAAAUUCAGUAAUCCUGACAGUAAAGUGUAAUCUAUUCCAAAAUUGCCCUUGGUGUCAUAUUUAAUAUUUUUUUACUAAACUUAACUUAAUAUAAUUUGCACUUUAAUUAAUUCUAUUAAUACGCNUCGAUUAUCCGCAUCCGCCCAAAGCCGCUCCAUCAGACUAUCUAGAAGCUGGGUCACUUCUCACUGCUCUUCACUCCUGUCGGAUUGCCCUCUUUUCUCUACCCCUUCCUAAGUCCUCCCUUCUCCUUCCUAUGCCUCCCUCCUACCGCCGAUCCUUGCCGACGCACGGCACACCUCCUGGAACCUGGACCGAGAAGAAGAAGUUAAGUCCUUCUCCUCUCUGAUUAUUCUGACUAUAUCCUCUACUGCUGCUACUAACUCCUUCUUCUACUUGGCAGGUGCAACAAUCCCCCCUACUUGAGUUGAUCCUUGCCCUCAAGGAUCAAAAGAUGGGCAUUGGCUUUUGAUGAACCCCGAAUCCUCCCAUGUUGCGAGUUCCUCUGGAAGAUUUGCCCAUUUUAUCAAGAUUUCGGUCGUGGCUCUGCCUCCGCGCUCCACCGUCCUCCUCUCUAAUGUUUUCUCUGGUUCUGCUCUCAAUCCUUCCUCUUCUCCCACAGAGGGCGCUGUCGGAGAUGCCUGAACUGAAAGCGGUGGGCUCUUCUUAAGUAAGGAAAUAUGGAAUACUGGGUGGAUUCUUGACCCCUCCGGUAACUAUAACUUGUAUGCCACUGGCCCGAUGCGCUCUAGUAUCUUGAAUGGACCAAAAAACCGCGCUGAAAGCUUCAGGUUUCUCCUUAGUGCCACCGUGGUUUGCCUGUAGGGCUGUAGUUUCAGGUAAACCCAGUCCCCCACCGAGUACUCUUUCUCCUUCCUAUGUUUGUCCUCUUGCUGUUUCAUUCUGUUUUGGGCCACAUGUAAUCGAUCUCUUAGCUCUCGAGUCAGUUGCUCUCUGUCCUUUAUCCAUCCCUUCAGCUCCUGAGAGGUAGCCUUGUCUACGGCGGCCACCAAGUGGUUUGGGGGUGGUUUUCCGUAGAGCGCCUCAUACGGGGUCAUGCCUAUUGCCGAUUGAAAACUGGUAUUAUACCACCAUUCUGCCAGAGCUAGCCACGAAUGCCAUUUCUUGGGAUGUUGAAAACACAUGCAUCUUAAAUAUGUCUCUAGGCAUCUGUUAACCCUCUCGGUUUGGCCGUCGGUUUCUGGAUGAUACGCUGAACUCAUGUGGAGCUUCGUUCCCAUUGCCUGAAAAAGCUCCUUCCAAAAUUGACUCACAAAGAUUUUGUCCCUGUCGGAAACUAUUCUUUUUGGGCAUCCGUGAAGCCUGUAGAUUGUGUUCAUGAAAGCUUUCGCCACAUCUGAAGCCGAAAACGGAUGCUUCAAAGAUAUGAAGUGUGCGUAUUUUGUGAGUCGAUCAACCACCACCAUUAUCGUGUCUCGACCUUCUGAUUUAGGCAAGGCUUCUAUGAAAUCCAGGCUUAUAUCCUCCCAAACUUGGUGUGGAAUUGGUAGGGGCUGCAGUAAACCAGCGUAUGGGGACCCAUCUACCUUGUUUUGGGCGCAGAUCGUACAGUUCUUAACCCAAUCCUCCACUUCCUUCUUUAACCCGAGCCAAAAAAAAUGUUGUUUAAUCCUUCGAUAAGUAUUUUGUAUUCCCGAGUGGCCUCCCAAGGCUGAAUUGUGCAUCUGAUCUAAAAUCCGUUUUCUUAAAGGCCCAGCCUCUCCAAUGUAUAACUUGUCUUUGUGGCGUAGCAAUCCAUGGCCAAAAGAGUAGUCCCCUUGAGUGGGGGCCUGCAGGAUUAAUUUGUUUAUUAUCUUCUCGCAGUGUUUAUCUCCCGAAUAACUUUCCACCACCUCUUCUACCCAGGUUGGAAUUGCUGCCGUGAUAGCUAACGAUUCCCCUUUUGUUUCUCCUCUCCUGGAUAAUGCAUCUGCUGCUGCGUUCUCUCUUCCCUUCUUAUACUGUAUAGUGUAAUUAAGCCCCAUCAACUUCAGCAUACCCUUUUGUUGCAUCGGCGUCGAAAUCCUUUGCUCCAGGAGAUGUUUCAAACUUUCGUGAUCUGUUUUUAUCACAAAAGUGUUUGUAUUCAAGUAAUGCCUCCAUUUUUGUACCGCCAUGAGUAUCGCCAAAAAUUCUUUUUCAUAUGUCGAUAACCCAAGGUGCUUUCCGCCAACUGCCUUGCUCAGAUAUGCUAUCGGCCUCCCUUCUUGUGAUAGUAUUGCGCCUAUCCCCGUGCCACAUGCAUCCACCUCUACUGUGAAAGGCUUUUCAAAAUCUGGCAUGGCCAAAACCGGAGCACUAACCAUUGCCACCUUCAACUCCUCGAAGGCUGAUUGAGCAUCCUUGUCCAAGUGAAACUGAUCCUUCUUUAACAACUCGGUCAAAGGCUUGCUAAUCCUCCCGUACUCUCUGAUGAACUUCCUAUAGUACCCUGUGAGACCCAAGAACCCACGAAGCUCCUUAACAGAUCUGGGUAUCGGCCACCUCGUCAUCGCUUCAAUCUUUGACGGGUCCGUAGCGACCCCUUCGGCAGAUAUAAUAUGUCCGAGGUACUCCACCUUAUCUUGCCCAAAGUAGCACUUGCUCCUCUUGGCGUAGAACCUGUGUUUUCUCAACUCAUCUAGUGUGAUGCACAAAUGCCUCACAUGCUCCUCCAACCCUUUGCUAUAGAUUAGUAUAUCAUCAAAGAAUACCAAAAUAAAUUUUCGUAAAUAAGGUUCAAACGUACAGUUCAUGAUUGCUUGAAAGGUUGCGGGAGCGUUGGUGAGACCAAAAGGCAUUACCCGAAACUCGUAAUGCCCUUGAUGAGUUCGGAAUGCUGUCUUAGGAAUGUCCGCUGGGUUCAUUCGGAUCUGGUGGUAUCCGGAUCGUAGGUCUAUCUUGGAGAAAUGAGUCGAGCCUCCCAAUUCAUCUAACAAAUCGUCGAUAAUCGGAAUGGGGAAUUUAUCUUUAACAGUGGAUUUAUUCAACUGCCGAUAAUCAAUGCACAUGCGCCAGCUUCCAUCUUUCUUCUUUACCAGCAAGGCCGGCGAGGCGAACGGGCUGUUACUCCUCUGUAUUAUUGAAUCACUCAACAAUUCUCUAAUCUGUUUCUCCAGCUCCUCUUUCUGUUCGUGCGAAUACCUAUAUGGUCUCACAUUAAUCGGGGCGGUGUCAGGUUGAAGCACAAUCGUGUGAUCUUGGACCCUGGUUGGGGGCAUCCCUCGUGGCUCUUCGAACACAUCGGGGUACUGAUUCAGCACCUGUUGAAUGUCAGGGUGAAUCACGGAUUCGGCUUUGGGAUCGUCCGAUAUUAUUUGAUGGCUCAGUAAAUAACACUCCCCGGUGCUCAUUUCCUGUUUCCAUUGAGCUGCCGUAAUCAACUUCAGCUUCGCCCCCUCCUCAAUCCCUUUCAACUCCAAUCUCUGCCCUUCCUUCAUGAUGGUAACCGAAUUGGAUAGGAAGUCGAAGGUUACCUUUCCAUAAGACUUAAGCCAGUCAAUUCCCAACACAAUGCUAACUCCUUCAAUCCGAAUCACCCGUAAAUCUGCCACGAAUUCGUGCCCUUGCAUGACCCAUGAAAAUCCCGGACAUUGAGCUUGCUUAACAUCUUGUGUCCAUCCGCUAUAGUAACCACCAAUGGCGAGGCGGCUUCCAUCUUUGCCCCAAUUCCUUUUGCCACCUGAAGGUCGAUGAAGCUAUGCGUGCUUCCUGUAUCUAUCAACAAGGUCAGUAUUUUAUUCUUCGCUUCACCUCUGAUCUUAAUAGUGUCCUGCGGUCUUUCUCCACUCAAUACAUGUACUGACACGCCGAUUUCCCGCGCCUCCUCGUUGUCAGUUAUAAUUUCAUCCCUUGGCUCUUCCCCUCCUAUAGCUUCUGCACCCACUUCUUCUUGUAAGCAAUCUUCGUCGUAGACUUCGAUAACUUCAUCUGAGGCUUGCAGGGUGUUUAGUGAUUUGCUGUUGCACACGUGCCCUGGGUGAUACCUUUCUCCACACCUGAAGCAAAGCCCUACUGCCCUUCUUUGCUCUAUUAGCUGCCUACUAAUUGGAUUGUGAUUGAUCUGGUUUCUUUGAGUUGUUUGGUACUGAGGUUUCGAAUUUUCGCCGCUCUUGUUAACCCCACUUCUUGUGUUGCCACGAAAUGAUGAUGAUGGGUAUGGGCCCCCCGACCCUUUGGGCAGGUACUUGCUUUUCCUAUUAAGUGAAGCUAUAGCCUUCUCAUGUAGCUGUGCUUGUUCAUACGCCUCCUCCAAUGUAUUCGGAUGCGCAAUAUCCAUGAAAUGAACCAGUUCUUCCUUGAGUCCAUUAAUGUAACACGCGAUAAAAUAUUCUUCGGUUAAGUGUGGGUUAUAAUAAAGCAGUUGGUACCUUAACUCUUCAAACUUCUCUUGAUACUUUUCGCAUGUUCCGGUGUGUUUCAAAUUAGUGAACUCCCGGAUCAGAUACCUUUCGCCCACUUGUGCAAAUCGCCUACACACUGGUUCAACAAACUCGUCCCAAGAAAGAGUUUGCUUGUUGACGAAAUAGCCCUGCUUCCAUGUUCUCGCCCUGCCUGUUAGAUACAUGGUGGCUACACUCAACCACUGAUGUUGCGGUAUUUGGUAUAAUUCGAAAUAUUGUUCGCAAUUUUCGAUCCAACUUCUGGGAUCCUCUCCAUCAAAGUAAGGAAAAUCCAACCGAGGGUACGGUAAGUGCUGAUGUUGAUUAAAAGUUCGAUUGCUCCAUGGUGAGGUAUGCUCUUCAUCUAUAUCAUGCGCUCUAAACGGAGUGGGUAGAAUACCUUUACCUUUUUCUUCUCUGAUUAACAACGGUGUGUUACUACUCCCAGGCCUGAAUUUGCGGUCCGAAGGGGGCGCCUCGGCUUGGGUUUUGAGUGUGGGUAACUGGGCGGUUAUAAGUUUCAGCAGCUCCUCGUGCCUCCUGUUUGCCUCGGUUUGUAGUGACUCAAACUGUUUUUGUCCCGUAUCCCUCACUUCGGAUAUUCUUUGGUUAAGUGCUUCUAUGUUGGCUUGAUGUUCCGUUCCCAACUGCUGAUACUUCUCCUCUAAUGUAUGGAUGUGAUCACUAAUAUCCCUCAGUCGGGUCCCUUCGGCCAUAUCUAUAUCCUCCAAAUAAUCCCUUGGAUUGAACUUGAACUUGUUGCUCCGCUUACCCCCAAUCUUGUCGUGUUGCGCGAAUUACUUAUGGUGGGUUCUCUAACAGAAGAGUUGUGAUCCAAUGAAGUUGCCUCGGAUGACUCAAUGCGCCUGCGGUAUAAAUUAAUCUGAGGAGUGAGGGGGUUUUCCUCAGAUCCUAUGGUCAGUCCUGGGUUACUGUACGGUGAUUUCCUUUGUCCAACUCUGAUCUCGGUACAGAAUUGGCAGCGCGGAAAUCUUAGAUGCGAUUAAACUCAACGAUGCUAAGAUCGGAGUCAGGAAGCGAUUCUACCACACAUGGCCCUGGGAUCGGACUGCUCUGAUACCAAUUGUUGCGCACCCGGACGAUUCCCAACCGCCGAUGAUGAGAUUGCUCUGAGGUCGGUAUGGCGGUGAGGAUGAUGGGCGUAUCCCAGUCGCGAUUAAGAUGAGAAGGUGAUAAGAAACGAGGGAGAGAAGGAAGAAUCAGAUGUAAGAAGAGACAGAGUAGAGAAUAGUAACAGAGGGAGAUGAAGUUGAGAAAGAAAGCAUUAAUUUCAUUCCUUGU